CAGGCCUGAUUCGGAGGGAGCAGGGGACGGGGCGGGGGCGGGGCGUGGGUUAAGGGGGCCUCCCCGAGUCCCCUCCCCAGGCUCGCGCCCUGUCCUCGGCAGCAGAGCGCACAUUUUACAAGGCCCCUCCCAUGGCUCUUCUGGGCCAAGUUGGGGAGACCAGGACCCUGGGCCAGCGGUCACUCUCCUUAAAGGCCACACCAGCAGCCGGGAAGGCAGAGGACGCGGAGAAGCAGGGAAAGGCCGUCCUUAGGCCUACACACAAAGCAGGGUAGCUGGGUCCGAGAGCAGGAGUGCAGUGGCAGCCACUGUGUCCACGCGGGACGGGAGAACAAGACGGGGCGGGGGAACCGAGCCUCAGAGGCCUGUGCUGUGCCUGGACCCACCCGCGGGCUGCCCCACCUGGCAGGUCCCUGUGAAGGCCAACUUCCAAGACACCCUCCACCCAGAGACCCCCACCCUGAGGAGACGCCAGGCCAGAACCCAAGCCCUUGACCCUACGUGAUGAGGUGGGGUCUCUCCUUUAUGCUUCCCACCUGGGCCCAGAGGGCAGGCAGGACCGCAGACGGGCAGCCCGGGAGGUUCCACUUAUUCCCGCUGUGAGGAGACGGAGCUGGGCACUGCGACCUCGCUCUGCAACCCCCAGGACACCGGCUUCUUCCUGGGCCUCCUGGAGAGGGCUCCGCCCAGCGAGGCCUUGGGCAGACAGCCCAGGCCCCCGGCUGUCGGUGCAGUUCGUCAUUCACACGAGGUCUCUGCCACUGGUCUCACGUGCCAGUACCUACUGCGGUCGCAGUGUCCUCACAUACGGUCACCUCAGGCUUCCAAGGGACCCCUGGAGUACUGUCCCUACAAGGGCCAGGUGAGUGGUCAGAGGACUGAUCUUGGAACGAGAAGAUGGCAAGUCCCAGCCGCCAGGCCUCAGGCUCUGACCCAGGUGCAGGACUCCCCUGCUGCCCUCUGGGCUGAGCAGGCCAAGUCUAUCCUGGUCACCUGGCAGAGGCAGGCUGUCAGGUCUCCCCACCCAGGGUCACUCUGUCGCCCCUCUCCACGGCCCACCCCAGGCAGCGGCAGAAGGCACCCUGGAGCGCACUGAACAAUUCUGGCCACACCAGCCCCAUUUCAAGCACUACACCCCGCAAGGCCAGCAGCCACCCUGUCGGCACAGCUGUUCCAGGAUGGCAGGCAACGCCAUCCGCCCGAGACACGCCGGUCCCUCUGGUACCAGCCAUUAGUAUCUUUAAAUAGACUCACCUGAGGAGGAGGCCGGUCUCGCUCCAGUAGCCCACCCUGUCCACGGUGGCUGGGACCGGUGGCCUCCUCUGAGGCCUGUGGGGUGAGUGACCGCCCUGCUCCUUAGGACUGCAGGGUCCCUCCGGGGGGCUGCGGCUCAGUAGCUCCAUCCUGACUGACUCUUAAAUGCCCGGCUCUGCAGGCCCACGUGGGUGCCAGGGAGAGACGGGGCAGGCCAGGUGAGCUGGUAAACCAGCUGCCUCUGAUGAUCCCGGGCAACGUGAGAAAGUCCUGAGGCCUCGGCACGCAAGGGGCCCAAACGCACUCGGACAGGCACCUGAGUAUGCUCAGGAUGGGUGGUGCCUCGCCGGGUGCAGACCAUGAGGGCCGGGUGACAUUUUUGGACGUGGAGCUGCUGCUGCAGUGGGCGAG
rnacentral:lncRNA from 1 species